GAUGGCGAGUGGCGAACGGGUGAGUAAUACAUCGGAACGUACCGGAAGUGGGGAUAACGUAGCGAAAGUUAACGCUAAUACCGCAUAUUCUGUGAGCAGGAAAGAGGGGGAUCGCAAGACCUCUCGCUUUCGGAGCGGCCGAUGUCGGAUUAGCUAGUUGGUGGGGUAAAGGCCUACCAAGGCGACGAUCCGUAGCUGGUCUUAGAGGAUGAUCAGCCACACUGGGACUGAGACACGGCCCAGACUCCUACGGGAGGCAGCAGUGGGGAAUUUUGGACAAUGGGGGCAACCCUGAUCCAGCCAUGCCGCGUGAGUGAAGAAGGCCUUCGGGUUGUAAAGCUCUUUCGGACAGAAAGAAAUCGCACAGGAUAAUACCUUGUGUGGAUGACGGUACUGUCAUAAGAAGCACCGGCUAACUACGUG
rnacentral:rRNA from 1 species